UUAAACUACAGGUUGAACACAUGGUCAACAGUCUGAAAUCAUGCCAAAGCGCAUGAUACAACUCUUGAUGUUUUUGUUUGUUACAGCAUUGUAAAGUAUUGAAAAGGAAGAAUCAUAGGCAUUUAGUGUGAAUCAUGGUCAGAGUGAGUGGAGGGACUGCUGAAAGCAGCUUCAGUUUGUCAUGAUAUUACGAAAGGUGAGAUGUAAGUUAAAAGUGAAUGAAAAGAUGAAGAAACUUUAUGCAACAUUUCCUGCUGUACAGAUAUUCAGCACAUCGUGAUCUGGCUUUGUAAUGGAGUCAUCUUCUGUCAGGCAGGAACAGCUUCUCCCUAUCUAUUCUGUACAGCCUGCUUUUGAUUUUGAAAACACUUAUAAAAGUAGCAGGAAAAUUCAACAAGGAAACAAGAGUGAGGUCCUGCUAAUUAAACUUCAACGUGAAGUACAGAAGAAAAUAUCACUUGAAGUAGUUGAAGCAAUCGACCGCAACGUUGGCAGUGUUAUUCUUUUUGCCUCUUUCUUCUGAUAACUGAGCUGAAGACUGCUAUAGUGUCAGGAACGUGGAUAGGAUCUUUACAGUAAAGGGCCUGAGGUAUAAGGCCAAUGUGUUCCUGCUAAAGCAGCCAAAGCCACUCUCCUAAUGUUCAAAGCUUCAGACAUUGGAGUCACAACCAGCUCUGACACUUAAGUCACCCAAAGGGACGAUCGCUGCCUUUUGAGAUAGCAAUGAAGAGGACUUCGACAAGAUCAAAGUAGACCUUUCCCUUAACAACUUCAUUAUAGUCAAGGAUCGGAACGUAAGCACUAAUGACAAUGGCAUAUUGGUUAUGGCUAAGCUAAACAUGCAGCGUCAUUUACACAAUUGAGGAAUUCUGCCAGUGUAUUUAAGAUGCUAUUCCAGGUAGCAAAAUUAAUUCCAUGGACAUGAGGACCGUUGCAUGGAAUUGAGUUUAUUUUAUUAUAGCCUGUCAAAACCUAAUUGCUAUAUCCUUAAGUAUAUUGAUUCAAAUUGUAUUUUUAUGUGUAAUAUAACCACCAAAGCAUGAUGAAUAAGUUCAGUUGGAGAUAACAAAGUGUGAAGCUGGAUGAACACAGCAGAACAAGCAGCACCUUAGGAGCACAAAAGCUGACGUUUCGGGCCUAGACGCUUCAUCAGAAAAGGGGGAGGGGGAGAGGGUUCUGGAAUAAAUAGGGAGAGAGGGGGAGGCGGAUCAAAGUUGGAUGAAAGAGAAGAUAGGUGGAGAGGAGACAGACAAGUUAAAGGGGCGGGGAUAGAGCCAGUGGAGGUGAGUGUAGGUGGGAAGGUAGGGAGGGGAUAGGUCAGUCCAGGGAGGACGGACAGGUCAAGGGCGCAGGUUGAGGUUAGUAGGUAGGAAAUGGAGGCGUGGCUUGAGGUGGGAGGAGGGGAUAGGUGAGACGAAGAACAUGUUAGGGAGGCGGGAACAAGCUGGACUGGUUUUGGAAUGCAGCGGAGGGAGGGGAGAUUUUGAAGCUAGUGAAAUCCACAUUGAUACCAUUGGGCUGCAGGGUUCCCAAGCGGAAUAUGAAUUGCUGUUCCUGCAACCUUCGGGUGGCAUUGUUGUGGCACUGCAGGAGGCCCAGGAUGGACAUAUUGUCUAAGGAAUGGGAGAGAGAGUUGAAAUGGUUCGCAACUGGGAGGUGCAGUUUAUUGCGAACCGAGCAAAGGUGUUCUGCAAAGCGGUCUCCAAGCCUCCGCUUGGUUUCCCCGAUGUAGAGGAAGCCACACCGGGUGCAACGGAUACAAUAUACCACAUUGGCAGAUGUGCAGGUGAACAUCUGCUUGAUGUGGAAAGUCUUCUUGGGGCCUCGGAUGGGGGUGA